rnacentral:rRNA from 1 species
CCUACGGGGGGCAGCAGUGAGGAAUAUUGGUCAAUGGGCGCGAGCCUGAACCAGCCAAGUAGCGUGAAGGAUGACUGCCCUACGGGUUGUAAACUUCUUUUAUAAAGGAAUAAAGUGAGGCACGUGUGCCUUUUUGUAUGUAUUUUAUGAAUAAGGAUCGGCUAACUCAGUGCCAGCAGCCGCGGUAAUACGGAGGAUCCGUGCGUUAUCCGGAUUUAUUGGGUUUAAAGGGAGCGUAGAUGGGUUGGUAAGUCAGUUGUGAAAGUUUGCUGCUCAACCGUAAAAUUGCAAUUGAUACUGGCAGCCUUGAGUACAGUAGAGGUAAGCGGAAUGCGUGGUGUAGCGGUGAAAUGCUUAGAUAUCACGAAGAACUCCGAUUGCGAAGGCAGCCUACUAAACUGCCACUGACAUUGAGGCUCGAAAGUGUGGGUAUCAAACAGGAUUAGAUACCCUUGUAGUC